CGUCUGUCCAAACUGAGGCCUGAAAGUAAUCAUCAUGCUCUUUGUAAUCAUCGUUUAGUAUAGUCUCUGGAGGAAGUCUUUCAGUCGCCCUUCACCUCGCUGUGGGUCCCGAUCAGCCCGCGUGUCGUCUGUCAAAUCUCCACACGGGAGAAGAAAAAGACUCCGGAUGAGGGAGAGCUGCAUCUGAAUCCAUUCCCCGGCACACAUUCUCUGAGACUGUGGCAGGGCCGCUUGACUGUUACUGGGGAAACAGAUGAUGAGAGAGCGCGAUGACGAACCCACCCGGGACUGAAGAGGUGCGUUCAGCUGACAGCGAAAGUGGCCCACUUCAUUCAUCUCCACCAAUGGAUUGUCAUCUUACAGAAGAAUGACAGCACAGUUCAAGGCAAAGGAGGUGAAGAAGUGUCUGCGUCUGACAGAUGUUUCCAGCUCACACGUACAGCACAUUUUCUCAUACAGAAGACCUGCAUCUAGUGUUCACUUUAAACAUUGCAUGCUUCAAUGCAUUAGGGCUCAAACUGAAUCCAAGUACUAAAUGUGAGUUUAUCAGAUGCUUAUUUGAUUUCAAAGUAAAAGUGUGACAAAUAAAUAAUUUUCCAAAAGGGUCACACAAGACAAUUAAU
ensembl:lncRNA